rnacentral:tRNA from 1 species
GGCCUUAUAGUCAAUGCAUGAUUUUAAAUUGCAAAUUUAAAGGAGGGGGGUUCCUCUAAGGCUU